UAAAAUGAGAGUUUGAUCCUGGCUCAGGACGAACGCUGGCGGCGUGCCUAAUACAUGCAAGUCGAACGAAACUUUCUUACACCGAAUGCUUGCAUUCACCGUAAGAAGUUGAGUGGCGGACGGGUGAGUAACACGUGGGUAACCUGCCUAAAAGAAGGGGAUAACACUUGGAAACAGGUGCUAAUACCGUAUAUCUCUAAGGAUCGCAUGAUCCUUAGAUGAAAGAUGGUUCUGCUAUCGCUUUUAGAUGGACCCGCGGCGUAUUAACUAGUUGGUGGGGUAACGGCCUACCAAGGUGAUGAUACGUAGCCGAACUGAGAGGUUGAUCGGCCACAUUGGGACUGAGACACGGCCCAAACUCCUACGGGAGGCAGCAGUAGGGAAUCUUCCACAAUGGACGCAAGUCUGAUGGAGCAACGCCGCGUGAGUGAAGAAGGUCUUCGGAUCGUAAAACUCUGUUGUUAGAGAAGAACACGAGUGAGAGUAACUGUUCAUUCGAUGACGGUAUCUAACCAGCAAGUCACGGCUAACUACGUGCCAGCAGCCGCGGUAAUACGUAGGUGGCAAGCGUUGUCCGGAUUUAUUGGGCGUAAAGGGAACGCAGGCGGUCUUUUAAGUCUGAUGUGAAAGCCUUCGGCUUAACCGGAGUAGUGCAUUGGAAACUGGAAGACUUGAGUGCAGAAGAGGAGAGUGGAACUCCAUGUGUAGCGGUGAAAUGCGUAGAUAUAUGGAAGAACACCAGUGGCGAAAGCGGCUCUCUGGUCUGUAACUGACGCUGAGGUUCGAAAGCGUGGGUAGCAAACAGGAUUAGAUACCCUGGUAGUCCACGCCGUAAACGAUGAAUGCUAGGUGUUGGAGGGUUUCCGCCCUUCAGUGCCGCAGCUAACGCAAUAAGCAUUCCGCCUGGGGAGUACGACCGCAAGGUUGAAACUCAAAGGAAUUGACCGGGCUCCGCACAAGCGUUGGAGCAUGUGGUUUAAUUCUAAGCAACGCGAAGAAUCUUAGCAGGUCUUGACAUCCUUUGACCACCUAAGAGAUUAGGCUUUCCUUCGGGGACAAAGUGACAGGUGGUGCAUGGCUGUCGUCAGCUCGUGUCGUGAGAUGUUGGGUUAAGUCCCGCAACGAGCGCAACCCUUGUUGUCAGUUGCCAGCAUUAAGUUGGGCACUCUGGCGAGACUGCCGGUGACAAACCGGAGGAAGGUGGGGACGACGUCAAGUCAUCAUGCCCCUUAUGACCUGGGCUACACACGUGCUACAAUGGACGGUACAACGAGUCGCAAGACCGCGAGGUUUAGCUAAUCUCUUAAAGCCGUUCUCAGUUCGGAUUGUAGGCUGCAACUCGCCUACAUGAAGUCGGAAUCGCUAGUAAUCGCGAAUCAGCAUGUCGCGGUGAAUACGUUCCCGGGCCUUGUACACACCGCCCGUCACACCAUGAGAGUUUGUAACACCCAAAGCCGGUGGGGUAACCGCAAGGAGCUAGCCGUCUAAGGUGGGACAGAUGAUUGGGGUGAAGUCGUAACAAGGUAGCCGUAGGAGAACCUGCGGCUGGAUCACCUCCUUU
rnacentral:rRNA from 1 species